rnacentral:rRNA from 1 species
AACGUAGGUGGCAAGCGUUAUCCGGAUUUACUGGGCGUAAAGGGUGUGCAGGCGGGGGUGUAAGUGGGGUAUGAAAUCUCCAGGCUUAACCUGGAGGGGUUAUGCCAGACUGCAGUUCUAGAGGGCGAGAGAGGGGGGUGGAAUUCCGGGUGUAGUGGUGAAAUGCGUAGAGAUCCGGAGGAACCCCAGAGGCGAAGGCGGCCCCCUGGCUCGUACCUGACGCUCAGCCACGAAAGCAUGGGGAGCGAACGGG